CAGAGGACUGAAGAAACAAGAUGAAAACAAAAGAAAAUCUCUCCUCUGUGUAUACUUUUUUGGAGGAGGAAAAUGAAAAGUGCUCUGCUUUGAUACCA